rnacentral:rRNA from 1 species
GAUGAACGCUGGCGGCGUGCCUAAUACAUGCAAGUCGAGCGAGCAGACGAGGAGCUUGCUCCUCUGACGUUAGCGGCGGACGGGUGAGUAACACGUGGAUAACCUACCUAUAAGACUGGGAUAACUUCGGGAAACCGGAGCUAAUACCGGAUAAUAUAUUGAACCGCAUGGUUCAAUAGUGAAAGACGGUUUUGCUGUCACUUAUAGAUGGAUCCGCGCCGCAUUAGCUAGUUGGUAAGGUAACGGCUUACCAAGGCAACGAUGCGUAGCCGACCUGAGAGGGUGAUCGGCCACACUGGAACUGAGACACGGGCCAGACUCCUACGGGAGGCAGCAGUAGGGAAUCUUCCGCAAUGGGCGAAAGCUUGACGGAGCAACGCCGCGUGAGUGAUGAAGGUCUUCGGAUCGUAAAACUCUGUUAUUAGGGAAGAACAAAUGUGUAAGUAACUAUGCACGUCUUGACGGUACCUAAUCAGAAAGCCACGGCUAACUACGUG